rnacentral:rRNA from 1 species
CCCUAUGGGGUGCAGCAGGCAUAUGGAUCGACGAAUACACUGCUAGCUUCAUCACAGUGGUAAUCUUAUAACAAGAUAGCCAGCAACACCAGGCAAAUCGUGCAGGAGUACCUUACCUCCAACAAAGAUAUCACGAAUAUACUUAUUAGCAAAAUGUCGUCUGAUGAUAUUACACUCAAAUAUGACGCAGCAGUAUUUCUCUCUGACAUUUGCCAGUCCGCCAAAAGAAUAUACAACUCAUCAAAAGAAAUAUUUUUUACAAAUAUAAGAUCGCAAGGAAUCAUACGGCAUCUACUCCAUAUAUUAACACAAAGACCCGAAGGAAAUGAUAUAAUCUCAUACUACACAGUGUCACAGCAGCAGCUCACUCUAACACACGCAGCUGAAAUCCUUGGAAGCAUUUUCUUCAUUUGCCCUGAUAAAUUCAAAGAAUACAUGGUGUCGCCAGAACAAACAGAUAGCAACUACCCACUCCUAAAUGAAUUGGCGGGAGGGC